CCUUCCUUCCCCUUUCAUUUUUUCUCCUAUAAAUAGGUUCUCUUGGUUUGUUACAAACACACAACAAACACUUCAAAACACCAAAUACACAAACUCUAUUAUCUUCUUGAUCAAUUUUCUAUUAUAAUUUUUUUUGCAUGUAACUGAUGAUCUCGGUGCAUGUUAAUACUCUUAACUUAGCAAAAAAAAAUAUAUAUAUUUUGUAUAAAAAUAGUAUAUGAUUAAUAUUGGAGAAAAUUAAGAGGGAGAGGCUAAGGUUGUUGACAGAAGAUAGAGAGCACUAAGGAUGUUAUGCAUAAAUAUACAUGGAGAUGAAGGAGCUUAUGAUCAAUUGCAUUUCAUUUCCUUUGUGCUCUCUAUACUUCUGUCAUCCACUCUAAAUUAGUCUCCAUUUUCUCAUUCUUAAUUAACUCCAAAUCAUCAUAUAUUAUAUCUUUCAUUUCUCUAUUUUUGAAUUUUUAAUUAUACAAUAAUUUUUCUUGAAUGGCAAAGAUGUAUAUUAUAUUAAAAUAAAGGAUUAUAGUUAGGUUACUUGAUCAUCAUAAAUAUGUUUGCACACACAAAUAUAGAUAUAUGAAUGUUUAUAAUUCUUUUUUUCUUUUUGUUGAUAAAUCUAGUUUAAUUUUCCUCUCAAGUUUAAUUUGCUGCAACUUUAUCAUAGUUUAUGUAAUCUUCUCAUUGAUAUUUACAUUUUGAAGGGUACUCUAGCUCUCAAGUGCCAUAAAGGUUAUGGUGUAUGAAAAAAUAAAGGAUCAUGCUAACAAGUGCCCUAAGGGUUUUGUUUAAGAAGUCAAAAGAAGUAACUUUUCUAUAAUUAAAAAAUUGUGUGCUUGUUAUUGUUUUUUAUUUUAUGAGCAAAACAUGCAAAGUUUAUUUUUUAUUUUUUUUUAUUUUCUUGGUAGAGAACAUGAAAAGUUUAUUGAUUGAAACAAUUGUACCAAAGUCUAGAUUUGUUAUUUAUUGUUGUUUGAAAUUUUCCUUUUGCAGUUUGACAUGAACAAGUUGUGACAUGAACCUGUUCUUUGAUGAUGGAUUAAUGAAAAAGUUACAAUCACAAUGGUGUGUGUAUGUGAAAUGCAAAUAAGGAUCAAAUGGCAAUCUACUACUCUGCUUGAUGGAAGGAUCAAAUGGCAAUUAAAAGAAUAUAUUAGAAAGGACUAAAUGGAAAUUUAGAGGAAUAUCUGUCACAGGGUCCAGAAUGAUCAGUGUGACAUAUUGUAGGGCAUAUACUCUGCAGGAUAUUUUCCAAGUCAGUAACCCACACCACAAUUGUUCAAUGAUAUUCGAAGAGGUGUGUGACCACUUUAGUCAAUGGUGUACGGAAUAUAUUACUAGAUAGGGUCUUCUAUAAUUUCUCAAUGGAAUAUUUGAUGUGAAUAUAUAA